CAAACGGCUCUUUUCAGAGCCACCCACAACCUCAUUCAAAAGAGCU
rfam:Mus musculus chromosome 13, GRC primary reference assembly.